GGAGGACUUGGGCUUAGCUCCAGUACCAGGAGAGGAGACCGAGGUCUCCAGGCUAUGGGGCACCAGAGCAGGCUGAAGAAGAGCACAGACUCCUGGAAGGGGAGACGUUCAGUGUGAACUGCUCCUACAAGUCCCAGGAAGAUAAACAUAGAUGGAUGUCUUGGUGUAAAAAGCAAGAGAAUGGAGAGUACUGUGUUGUACCACCCUUAGAAAAAAGCCCCAAGGUUUCCCUGUCAGACAAUGAAUACUUCUCCUCUUCAUGACAAUAGUAGCAUCAUCACUAUCACUAUCACAAAGUUGAGGCUCACAGUAAAGGAUUCAGGUGUCUGUGAGUGUGUGAUCCUUGAAGAAUCUCCUAAGACAGUCCCUGAAGAAUUUCCUAAGAGUGAAAAAGCCAUCCUCAGGAGAUUUCACCUGGUGGUGUCCUCAGUUGAAACACAGAGCCCCACGAAAGGGAUACAAACUACUACGGAGGUCAUUUCCAACAAUCCGGCCACCAACAACAGUUCCUCAGAAAAGAAAUUAAGCAUUUUGGGUGUGGUUCUUUCUUGCCUGCUCCUAUUGGUGCUCCUUGUUGUGGGCAUCAUUUGUACCAGGAGGAUCUACCAGAAAGCCAGGAAAGGUGAUGACUCUGAGACCCAGGAGAAAAGGCAAAGAUGA
rnacentral:lncRNA from 1 species